AGCUCGUGCUGGUCUUCCCCAUCGCCAGGGAGAGGACCACAGGUGGACUCGUGGACAAGGAGACAGAGAGAGUGGAUAGAGAAGCGUGGUAAAGCUGACAUGUGGAUCUACAUGUCCACGUCACCACGUAGUGAGCAUGCCAUGUAGGCAUAUUAAUGGAAGUUCUAGAGAUUUGACCUAUAUGGGACAAUUAGUAAGUUUGAGGAUUUUAUUAUGCAUUUUAGAAGUUUCGAGACAUAGAUGAUAC
rnacentral:lncRNA from 1 species